GCAUUCAACUCUUCCGAUCCAAAAAUAUCUUGAACUGAUGGCUGUUGCCCUGAAUUUGUCUCUUGUUUUUGUGUUCUCUUAAGAUCACCUGCUUUAUUUCCUGAUUUUGUCUCCUUCUUUUGUGUUUCUUGAAGAGGACCUGCUUCAAAUUGUUCAUCUGAAUCUACCGUUGCUGAACUGUCAACACUACCAGUCUGCUCAAACCUCUUGUUCAGUUCCUGGCUCCUGCUGCGUAAUUCCUCUUCUGAAAUCCUCAAUGGAUGAUCAAACCCAUUACUCCCCAUUUGAUCAGAUGGACAGCUCCAACCACCCAACCACACCAGAUCAAUAACUUCAACAGCCUCUGAUAUAAAUUCCUGAUACAAAGUCCUCCACUUUUGCCUAAGUUUAGUACACUAGUGAUGACCGAAUUUGAUGGUGGAAAAACAGGAAGACUCUUUUGUACUUGAAAAAAAUCGAAGAUAGAGACUUUAAGAGAAUUGAAACAGCAGGUUGAAGGAGUGAUGAUCACAACUGGUGAGUGAGUCCUUCCGUUCUCUAUGUUAGAGGUUCGAGAGACAGAGUCAGGCGAGAAACCUUAAUUAAUGAAAGGAGCAAAGGCGACGACGAGAAAGUUGCGAGUUUAGAGGAGAAAAG
rnacentral:misc_RNA from 1 species